CAACAAAGGCGUUUAGACUUCAAGGAAAAAACUUUGUUUUGGUAGGGUGACCCUCCGGGUGAACUGGCCGUACCCCAAACUGAAACAGGUUGACGAGUAGAGUAUACUAGUGCUUAAGAGAAUCAUGUUGAAGGAACUCGGUAAAAGACCCCGUAACUUCAGGAGAAGGGGGCUAUCGUAUCUUGUGAUUAAGGAAGCGGCACAUACCUGGGGGUAUCUAUUUUUCAUAAAAUCACUGGAUUCUGCUGUGUGGCAACAUGAUGUAUAGAGUAUUGACACCUCGCAGAAGGUCGGCCAGAAAAGUGUUAAACCACAUGUAAGAGAGGGAGGCACAUUAUGAUAUUUAUAAACAUGGUUUAGAGUCUUACCUAACAUUAGCAAAAGGAACAUAG
rnacentral:ncRNA from 1 species